AGGUAGAAGACGGACAACUGAUAACCCCGAGGACAUUUGGCAAUGAUAUUUGUGGACAAGGAGGAACGUACACUUAUCUCCCCUUGUCAUUCGUCAAGAACACAUCCAGGACUGAUUUUGAAAAACACGAGAACGUUCUCGUUCAUGAAUGGGCACAGCUACGGUGGGGCGUGUUUCCGGAAUAUGGUACCGAUGCGGAAGCCAAAGGGCAUUUCUACCAAGCUGGAGGGAAGUGGAAACCCACACGCUGCAGUGAGAACGUUCAAGGUCGUGUGGGGUUCGGUACUAAUUGUAAGGCUAGUUCGUGGUGUGAUACAAAUGAUUCAACACGACGUAUCCACCCCGGCUGUCGAUUCUGUCCUGAUCUUACACAAUCGGUAGCAGGGGCGUCCAUUAUGGACAACCAAUUCGUGGACCUACGAAGGUACACCUGCAGCGAAAAGACACAACAGACUUGCAACAAACAAGCAGAACCUGUACUGAGACCAUAAGAGCGUGUGGGCUGUCAUGAGGGAACAUUUUGAUUUUAC